rnacentral:lncRNA from 1 species
UCCAUUCAAAAAAAUAAAAUAAAAAAGUAGUUUUUAGAUUGUGGAGUCAAACCUCUACAUUGUGAAGCUUCCACAAAAAUUCAGUGCUGCAGCCUCCCUCUCAUCUCAUUUUUCUUCUAUAUCUACUAGGCGUUCUUGAGUUCUGAGCUGACAGGUCAUGCGUCGAACACAAUCCUUAGUUCUUCUUCUAAGCUUUGGACUCCAAGUACUGGCAUCCCAUUGCAAUGCAACUUCAUGCAUCCUCAUCUCAUUCUAUCCUGAAGUGGAUUAACAAGAGCCGGAAGAAGGAAGGAAGUAAGAAGCCUGCUGUGUUUUGGCACCAAAUGUUACAGGGACUAAGAGAACACAGGUGAGGUGGAACAUGUUGAAAAACCAAUCAAAACGGAUAACAUUCCUGGUGCUUGACUCUUAGCAGUGUUGUUUGAAAAAAAAAAUUAUGCCUAGCUUUCUUCCUAUUAAUCUUGUUUUUUUCCCCUCUAGAGAAGGAAGAGAUUGGGGUACAUGUGAACUUUUUUUUUUUUUGUACAAGUGAGGGGAUUAGACCCUAAGCGAAGAGAAACCAUGGAGAACGAAUAUAGAAACAAGCCAUUGAAUCAUACUGAAGAAGUAGAGCAAACUCCAAAGAGAUUGGAGUCCUCAGUGAUGCUGUGAGACCUCUUGAGUUAUAGGUUUUUUUUGAAAAUGAAGGAGACUAAUGGUUGUAAACCGUCAGUCACCAAAUUAGUUAUAGUUUUGAGUUUCCG